CUUUUCUCUUCAUUAGCGCUGGGGCGUCUGUAUCGUGUUCAAACCGAAGGUAACCUACCUGCACAGGAUGUGGAUCUUCAGCACUUGAAACAGAUUUGUUCGUUACACAAUUUCCUGAUACUGUCAGUUUUGCCUGGAAAUCAGCUGAACAGUUCACCGAAAGUGCAGUGGCUAAGCGGCAGAGGAAGAAAUCUUCCGCCUGGGCCGUUAUGUUGAAGUCACCGGACGCAGACAUCAGAGCGUCAACAGCCCUGACCAGGAAGAAGAUGCUGGACACUUCCCUUAGAUGCUACGGCCUAUAUUUUUAACGAUGAAAUUAUGUUUCGUGAACAAAAAUGUAAUGUUUUAACUUCAGCCCUAUGUCAGAGUUCGAAGUUAGAUGUUCUG